rnacentral:rRNA from 1 species
UACAGAGGUGGCAAGCGUUGUUCGGAAUUACUGGGCGUAAAGGGCGCGUAGGCGGUCUUUUAAGUCUUGUGUGAAAUCCCUUGGCUCAACCGAGGAACUGCACGGGAUACUGGAAGACUUGAGUUCGGGAGAGGGAAGCGGAAUUCCGGGUGGAGUGGUGAAAUGCGUAGAGAUCCGGAGGAACACCAGAGGCGAAGGCGGCCUACUGGGUCAGUACUGACGCUGAGCCGCGAAAGCCAGGGGAGCGAACGGG